GACGGAGGGUGCAAGCGUUGUUCGGAAUUACUGGGCGUAAAGGGCGCGUAGGCGGUCUGUUAAGUUCGGUGUGAAAGCCCCCGGCUCACCUGGGGAACUGCGCCGGAAACCGACAGACUCGAGUACCGGAGAGGAGGGUGGAAUUCCUGGUGUAGCGGUGAAAUGCGUAGAUAUCAGGAGGACCACCGGUGGCGAAGGCGGCCCUCUGGACGGAUACUGACGCUGAGGCGCGAAAUCGUGGGGAUCAAACAGG
rnacentral:rRNA from 1 species